UACGUAGGGGGGCAAGCGUUGUCCGGAAUUAUUGGGCGUAAAGAGCGCGUAGGCGGUCCGAUAAGUCGGCCGUGAAAGUCAGGGGCUCAACCCUUGAAAGCCGGCCGAUACUGUCGGACUAGAGUCCGGAAGAGGCAAGUGGAAUUCCCGGUGUAGCGGUGAAAUGCGCAGAUAUCGGGAGGAACACCAAUGGCGAAGGCAGCUUGCUGGGACGGUACUGACGCUGAGGCGCGAAAAGCGUGGGGGAGCAAACAGGG
rnacentral:rRNA from 1 species